rnacentral:sRNA from 1 species
UCCUAAAAUGUUUGUGGCGUUGUCGCUGAC